ACCCCUGCGCGGUGGGUGGGGGCCAUAAAUAAGAAUGUGGGGGGGGACACCUAGUCACCUGGGGGGGUUACAUUUUUAUUUAAGGCCCCCACCCGCCUCUCAGGGGUUGGGGCCG